CAGGACGAACGCUGGCGGCGUGCCUAAUACAUGCAAGUCGAACGAACGGAUAAAGAGCUUGCUCUUUUGAAGUUAGUGGCGGACGGGUGAGUAACACGUGGGUAACCUGCCUCACAGCUGGGGAUAACAUCGAGAAAUCGAUGCUAAUACCGAAUGUGCUGAACAUCAUAAGAUGUUCAAGUGAAAGACGGUUUCGGCUGUCACUGUGAGAUGGACCCGCGCUGGAUUAGCUAGUUGGUAAGGUAAUGGCUUACCAAGGCGACGAUCCAUAGCCGACCUGAGAGGGUGAUCGGCCACAUUGGGACUGAGACACGGCCCAAACUCCUACGGGAGACAGCAGUAGGGAAUCUUCGGCAAUGGACGAAAGUCUGACCGAGCAACGCCGCGUGAGCGAAGAAGGCCUUCGGGUCGUAAAGCUCUGUUGUUAGAGAAGAACAUGGGUGAGAGUAACUGUUCACCCCUUGACGGUAUCUAACCAGAAAGCCACGGCUAACUACGUG
rnacentral:rRNA from 1 species